rnacentral:lncRNA from 1 species
CCUCAGGUGAUCCUCCUGCCUCAGUCUCCCAAAGUGCUGGGAUUACAGUUGUGAGCCACCACAUCCAGUGGAGGUCAGUUCUAUUCACCCGAUUAGAUGAGGGCUACCUACAUUAUGGAGGGCAAUCUGCUUUAUUCAAGGCCUACAAAUUUCAAUAUUAGUCUCAUCCAAAAAAUACUCUCAGCAGAAAUAUCCAGAAUAAUGUUUGGCCAAAUGCCUGAGCACUGUGGCCCAGGCAUGUUGCUACAUAAAAUUAUCACAAAAGAUGAGGACUUGUCCUCAGGGACGCCAAGGAUGGGGUUUAAGAUAGAUAAUGGCGAUGGAACAUGAACACUGUCUCGGAGGCCAAGAACUAUGAAGGAAAAGUCCACUGGAUUCUGCAUCUGAGAUUCGCUGGACCACAUUUCUCUUCCUACUAAGUGUAAAAUACUGGUUAAGAGCAAGCAUGGGCUUUGGGGCAAAAAAAUAUUCUGAAGCCCAUCCUGACUCAGCCAUUACUUACUGUGAACCUGCACAAAUUACUUUCCCUCUCUCGACCUCAGUUUUCCAAUCUCUAAAAUAGAAAUAACUGUAUCUAUGAAGAAUUUUUUAAGAAUUAAAUAUUUUGGUGUUUCUACUAUAUGCUAACUGAUAAGUAUAGCUCAUGUUAAUAUUAUCAUCACUAAUAUUCAUAUUAUUUCAUCUUGAUCAUUAUCAUCUUCAUAUGUUCCAUAUUCAGAGGACACAAUUUAGAGUAGAAGGAUUAAAGAGGGAAUGGCUUAAGAAUAAAGGAGGGAUUAAGAAGGGAAUGAGGAAUAAGGAAAAAUGUGUGCCUGUAUUUCAUAGCCGACCUAGCAUUCUACACUGAAACUCAGUUCUGAGUCUAGAACACUUUUAAUUCAUUCUCUCUCCUUUUACAAGCAAGGAAACAUUUUCAACACUAAUACAUUUAUUUCUCCCAAUCUAUAGUUCAACAACACAGUCAGAAGUAUAGAGAAGACUUACUUUCUCUACCCUGCGCUUCUUUCACCAGAUCAGCAUAUUCCUAACUCCCAUGGCUUAGCCUUGAUUGUGAUGCUACUUUCCUAGAAAACUUCUAGUAAGAAUGGGGGUCAUAGUGGACCACAUCACUUCCUUCUCCCAGCAUUGCUGAGGCAAAUGAGGAGGGAGCAGGUUUAGAUCCUCACUACAAAGAGCAGGCAUGGAUUCUACCUCUUAAACAUUUUACUCAGGGUUCCCUGACAAUGAAAACUGCCUUUCAUUUCUUCUUUCAGCCCAUUGGAGUAGAGGUUAAUGACUUUGUCCUAAGAAACAAAAGGCUCACAUGCAAUUAAAAAGAUCUCAGAAACAAGUCAGGCAUGAAGAGUGUUCUAGAAACUCUACAAUUGAAUUUUUUUUCAUUGACAAAUGAUCCCGCCAUCAUUGUAGAUAGGGUAACAUAUCUAAUUCCUAUAAUUCUAUAUCUUUAAAUGAAGCCUGCAGGAAAUGCCUUGAUGGAAAGGAAGAUCAACGGGACUGAAAAUAACGUAUUCCACCUCAUUCCCCCUCUCUGAAUUCAAUUUCUCACCAGGCACUCUGAUAGCUUCCUUCUUCCACCCCUUCCAGAAGCCAAUUCUGAAUUAUCCAACCCUAAAAAAGACUAUGAAGCCAACAGAGUCACCAAACACCUAACUUAGCAAGGGCCCCGAUCUUCUUCUCCAAGCAAACCUCUUCCUCUUUGUAAUUCACCUUUAUGUUCUUCAUCUAGCAGAGAAAGAAAUAAACAGGGAAAGCAGAAAGAAAAGAGGUAGAGAGGGCACUGCAAGGCCCAGAGAGUUCACAAACAAAAGAACCUGCCUUAGUAUUACGAAGCACCAACCACACUUGCUUUAGGCUUAAAUCAGACUUGAUUUGGCUCUUCUGAACAAGCACCAGCAUCUAAAUCACUCACUUGGCAGCAUUAUCUGUGGCCUGUUACGUGACAGACACAAUGCUACACACUGGGGGAUGCCAGUAUGAAGAUAAGAUAUGGUCCUGGAAUAUAACAUUACUCAUGGUGUCACCUUGGGCAAGUUAUUUAAUCUCCCCGUGACUCCGUUUUCUCAUCUGUAAAUGGGGAUAAUAAUAACCUCUACCUCAAAGAUUGUGAUAAGAAUUAAAUGUAUUAUUACAUAUAAAGCACUUAGUGCUAGGGUAGAGAUAUCAUCACAGGAAAAUAGGAUACUUGAGAAUUCCACCUGGACCUUCACACAGACAAUGAUCCUUGGGCUGGGCUUUAUAAAAAAUUGUUUAAGGUUUUAAGAAAAGUGUAAAAGAGAUGGAAAGGUCAUGCUGGAGGACAGGCCAGCAUGAACAACGGCUCAGAGGUGAAAAUACACACAUUUCUUGGAUGGUGAGAGGCUGGAGCGCAAAGGGAGCUGUGAAGGGGAGGCUGCUGGAGCCUCAGGCCUCCUCUCCCAGGCUCUGCAGGGCCUGUGUACCUGGGGGAGGAGCCUGUCCGGAUGAUCUACAGAGCUCCUGCUGCAAGAAGGAAGCAGUCCUUAACUGUGUCCAAGGAAGAGUGGUUCUGGACAAAGAGAGGGAACAUUUCCCAUCUGUUCCUGUGACUUCCCCACUGGUGGGGCAGGAAGGACAGAAGGGAUGUUUGCCCUGAGAUGGGUUCAGUUUAAUUCAAGUUUCCAAUAAUUCUAAUCCUUGACCAAAUUUCUGUGAGUGGAGCCUUCUACUCUAGAAUCUUCCCUCCUUCUGGGCACUGCCUUCACAAACAUGAACUACCAACAGGCUUUCCUCUGCCCUCACUUUCCAGUGUUCCCAGAACUCUGAGGAAGGAGCAGCCCAGGUAAGGCAGAGCUGGAAAGGCCAUGAGGUGCAGAGGUGACCUCAGUAGCCACCGUCUCUGCCCUCUGAUAGGGAGCCAGGCUCUCAGUGGGUGGAGGAGACAGAGAGCAGAGAGAAAGAGGCAGACAGAGACAGAAAAACAGAUGGAGGGAGAGUCUGAGUGUGUUGGCCAUCUUCUGUGCUCCAUCUUACACUGCCAUGGUAACCAAUUUGUAAAGGUGUGACCUGGUGGAAGUAGGAGUGGUUCCUCCCUCACCAUCACUCCUAGUGGCCCCCUGUGGAAUUUGCACUUCUUGUCCCAUGACCUUAUGCUCUGCUGGUUAAGGGCCCCAGGUCCCAAGGGGGAACAUGGUUGGAAUUCUGCUAGAAGACAUGCCUGCUAUCUAUUUCUUUUAGGCUUCUCCUGCCAGUGAAGAAGUAGGCAUGGCAAGGAGUUACGUUGUUGUCAGGGGCAAUCAGCCCUGAUGACCACAAGGAGCCAGGUUGCUGCUCUACAACAUGGGGCAAGAAUGAGUGCCUCUGGAACCCAGAGAUCCCCUGGGGUGUCUCUCAGGGAUUCCUGUGCCCAUGGUAACCAUAAGUGGGCCAUUUGUAUACAACUGUGGCCUGGAAAGGCUCAGACCCAUUGGAGAUGAAAGUUCAAGCCACCCCACAGGGUAGCAGCCUUGACCCACCAAAAUGCUUACUGUGGUGAGGGAAAUGUAGAAACCAAGGUGGAGAAUGACGGAUCUUGAUUGAGGCCUUGGGAUCAGUCAUAAGGUCACAGACCAUGGCAUGUUCCACUAACCCUCAUGUCCUCAGGCUUUUUGUAGAGAUGACAGAUGGCUACACUUUGAAGUCACUGUGGCAAACUUGACUUCAUGGGAGGCAUUACUAGAUCUGAGCAUUGCAAGGGGAAGACAGCAUGGUGUCCUGUCUCAUUUCUUCCUGGACCGCUUUUCUUUCCUGCUGUUGCUGGGCUAACCAGCUUUGCACAGCUUUUCUACCUCAGUUGCAAGCUGUCACCUGAAGUCCUGCUCCAAAGAGAAGAACCGCUCAGAACCACAGUGCUGCCACUGCAGACCCAGGCAUCAUCCCAGGGGCCUGGCCACUCCUAAUGCCAUGCCUUGCCCCACAAAGUCACUCAUCUUGACUGGCGAGGCUGGUUCAGAUGAUCUCAUUUCAGGGACAUUUUCCUGGUUCCCCCUUUCAUUUGUCCCAACUCACUCACAGCUGAGCAUGCAUGGAUUAGGAUAACAACAAUGUUUCUGACAGGAAGUGUAUUACUAGAACACUUUAAGAACUCCUUGUGUAUACACACACACAGGCACACACACACGAGUGAAACCUUUUCCUAAUAUAAAGAUUCAAGGUUUUGUAGUGGCUUUAGUUUGUCCCAUUUUCUGUAGCAAGGUUUUAUACACAUACACACACACACAAACACACGCACACAGCGUCUUAAACAUAAGUUGAUGGAGUGUGAAACUGCACUUCAUUUACUGCAUAAUGGAACACCUUAAUGAUAUUCUUAGAUAUAAUGCCUUUUCUCUGAACCACUUUUCUUUUUAGUAUUUAAUGUAUGUUAUCAUCACAAUUUUCAUCUGUUUUUCAGAAAUACUCUACAAAAUCUAUUUUCCUUGCUGGAAAACUAGACCCAAAGAGCAGGUAUCCCUGUCUAUGUUGUUAGCAAGUAUUUUGAGAUGUCUUUAGGGAUGCAUAACUCCACAGAAUUGAGAAUACAAAGCCAGGAGACAUUAAAAAGAUGUCACAUCUGUAAGGAUACCUCCUGUACUAAGCUUAAAUGAACACUACAGAGGGUCUCAUUCUCAAAAGGCUUUGCUGGUUGUGUAGGACCAAGAAAGUUAUAAAGCUGAAGCCAAUAAUAAAGCAAAUGACCAAGAAACAACUUUUAUAUUAAUCAGGAUUCGUUUUUAAGUUGAAGUGACCAAAAUACAACUCAAACUAACUCAAGCAAAAAAGAAAUAGGUACUGGGGAGAGGGGACAGUAGGGGAACAGGCUCCCACAUACUGAGAUCUGGGAACACAAAGGGAAGUUAUCAGGUCUCUCUCCCUCUCAGCUCUGCUUCUUUCAGUGUGGUGGCCUCAUUCUUUCUAACUGAAGAACGAUCUUUACUGCAGAAAAUUCUAAGCAUUAUUGUGGCAGAUCCAGUAAGUCCCAGAGAAGGAUUCUGAUUGGUCCUGCUUCAGUCACAUGCUUGCAUCUUAGUCCAAUCACUGUGGCCUGGAGGAUGGGACACCAUGAUUUGCAAGACUCUGGUCACAUGCCCACACCUGUGGCUUCUGAAGCAGAGCACCAGCAGUGACAGUCCCACCAGAACCGCAUGGAAUAGAAAACUGUGCAUUUCCCUAAGGAAAGGGAAUGCCAGAGAAGGGCAGAAGGGAAAUCAGGAAGACAAAACGGUAAAUUACCUACCACAAAUCCAAUUCAUUGGUAUUUUUCCACUUACACUUAACCAAGCAACGAUUUCUCCUGGUCCCAUAAUGGAAAAGAGGGUUUAUCUAGAUUCAUAUAUACAAGACUGAAGAGUGAAGAGAGACCCAGAGAAUGUUCUAAAAUCUGCCAGUUAGCAUAAUCACACAGAGAAAUCUCUGCUUCCAGAGGAGGAGCCAAGUUCAAGUCAGAGGUGAGGAAUGCCAACAGGAAAGCUCACUUUCUCCGGGGAUAUUCAGGCCAACACUAGGAAACCACAGCCAAGUCAGGCAGGGCUUGGGGCGGAACUGCUGACACCUCCACCCUAGCCAAUCCAAGGUGCACGCCUGCCUCAUGCAGCCCAGCGUGACUCCCGCCAUUGGCACACUGUGCCCAUCACAGGCUGGAGCUCCUUUCCUCCACCGUCUUCCCAACUCCUGCCAACCAGAACUUAACUACUCCUUUGGAUUCUGCUUUUCACUUGUUCUUCAUCAGACUAUGGAAGCUUAGACUUCAUAAUUUGGCUGAGACUUCAAAAAUAGUUUUAAAGAAAGCUAUUCCCACCCUGCUAAAUGUCUUCAUGUUGGAGUGGACCUUUCCUCUAUCUGUCAACAGAAUGGAUAAAUUGUGGAAGAGUAAUAUCAGAAUACUACACAUCAGUAAAAAACAACAAACUUCUGCUACAAACAAUCAACAUCGAUGAAUCUUUCAGGCAAAAGGGCAUCCAAAUGGAGGCUAAUGAGUGCAUCCCAAAAUGCUGGUCCAACAUGAUCAAUACAGACUCCUUGGCUGGAUUCUCAGAAAUAUGGAUUCCAAUGCAAAAGGUUAAUGCCUACAAUAAGUGUUCUUGAAAUACAGUCACGCGUUGCUUAACCAUGGGGAUAUAUUCUGAUAAAUUCAUCAUUAGGCGAUUUCAUCACUGGGCGAACAUCACAGCUCGUACUCACACAAACCUAGAUGUCAUAGCCUACUACACACCUAGGCUAUAUGAUAUAGGCUAUUGCUAGCAACAAACCUGUACAGCAUGUUACUGUCUUGAAUACUUAGGCAGCAGAGCACAAUGUUAUAGAAACAGAUGAUCAGUGGCCCACGGAUUCCAGGUGAGGAUCUGGGACCCAGACAUCCAGAUAUUGAAAACACAGGGAUGGAGUCUGUAUGGAAAAAAUUAAAAUAUAGCAAAAUGUGAAAUACGGAAGAGAAAUCUUUCAAUUUCCCAAUGGAAGUGAGAAAAGAGCAAAGAAAAGUAUUGGUCUUCCAAAACAAAUAGAGGACGGAGCUGCUGCUGUUGCAUGGUGUCUAGAAACUCAGACAACUUCAUCAUUCCAUAUUUGCAUCCAAGAGAGAGAAAGAAAAACUACAAUCAUUUUCCAUUUACCCAUCAACCCAUCAACCUCCAAAUAAAGGCUAUUAAAAAACAAUCAAAGUGUGAAGAGGGCAGAAAAUGUGAUGAAGAGAUUCUUUGGAGAAAGUAGCUGCCACUGUUACCUUGGGAUCUGCCUAUAGUCCUCACAGAGCUUGCCCUUGCAGGAUAGAACAUAGGAGUCUGGGAGUCUGCAAGAAGAGACAGGGUCUCACUAUGUUGCCCCAGUUGGCCUUGAA